AGAGGGAUAGCUGGGUCAAAUGGUGAUUCCAUUCCCAAUUUUCCAAGAAAUUUCCAUACUGCUUUCUGAAUUGGCUGCACCAAUUUAUAGUCCCACCAGCAGU
rnacentral:pre_miRNA from 1 species